UACAGAGGUCCCGAGCGUUGUUCGGAUUCAUUGGGCGUAAAGGGUGCGUAGGCGGCGGGGCAAGUCUGAUGUGAAAUCCUGGGGCUCAACCUCAGAACUGCAUUGGAUACUGCCUUGCUAGAGCACUGGAGAGGGAACUGGAAUUUACGGUGUAGCAGUGAAAUGCGUAGAGAUCGUAAGGAAGGCCAGUGGCGAAGGCGAGUUCCUGGACAGUGACUGACGCUGAGGCACGAAGGCCAGGGGAGCAAACGGG
rnacentral:rRNA from 1 species